UGGGAGGCAGAUACUGAGCUGUGCUCUGUCCGUCACUAGCCCUCCCUAUAGCGUCCUCGGUCUCUGAUGACCGUGGCUAAGCUAAGAGGUAUCACAGUGGACCAAUACGGGGCAGACAACU